GACGAACGCUGGCGGCGUGCCUAAUACAUGCAAGUCGAGCGAGUCUGCCUUGAAGAUCGGAGUGCUUGCACCCUGUGAAACAAGAUACAGGCUAGCGGCGGACGGGUGAGUAACACGUGGGUAACCUGCCCAAGAGAUCGGGAUAACACCUGGAAACAGAUGCUAAUACCGGAUAACAACAGAUGAUGCCUAUCAACUGUUUAAAAGAUGGUUCUGCUAUCACUCUUGGAUGGACCUGCGGUGCAUUAGCUAGUUGGUAGGGUAACGGCCUACCAAGGCGAUGAUGCAUAGCCGAAGUGAGAGACUGAUCGGCCACAUUGGGACUGAGACACGGCCCAAACGCCUACGGGAGGCAGCAGUAGGGAAUCUUCCACAAUGGACGCAAGUCUGAUGGAGCAGCGGCGCGUGAGUGAAAAAGGGUUUCGGCUCGUAAAGCUCUGUUGUUGGUGAAGAAGGACAGGGGUAGUAACUGACCUUUGAUUGACGGUAAUCAAUUAGAAAGUCACGGCUAACUACGUG
rnacentral:rRNA from 1 species